UAACUCGGGUUUCUGUUCAUUCACACAUAAAUCUUUCGCCUUUUACUAAAGAUUUCCAUGGAGGGGAACGUUGACGAGUUCUUAUUUUUGAAUGCUCUGCUUUGGCAGAGCU